rnacentral:rRNA from 1 species
UACGAAGGGGCUAGCGUUGCUCGGAAUCACUGGGCGUAAAGGGUGCGUAGGCGGGUUUUUAAGUCAGAGGUGAAAUCCUGGAGCUCAACUCCAGAACUGCCUUUGAUACUGAAAGUCUUGAGUAUGGGAGAGGUGAGUGGAACUGCGAGUGUAGAGGUGAAAUUCGUAGAUAUUCGCAAGAACACCAGUGGCGAAGGCGGCUC